rnacentral:sRNA from 1 species
CUCUAGCCCUGAUGGAAGCGGCAUCUUUUUUGAUGACUGAGGCAUACGAAGUCAUUAAAAAAAUACAGCGGACAGCAGGAAAUAGC